rnacentral:rRNA from 1 species
UGAACGCUGGCGGCAUGCCUUACACAUGCAAGUCGAACGGCAGCACGGGUGCUUGCACCUGGUGGCGAGUGGCGAACGGGUGAGUAAUACAUCGGAACAUGUCCUGUAGUGGGGGAUAGCCCGGCGAAAGCCGGAUUAAUACCGCAUACGAUCUACGGAUGAAAGCGGGGGACCUUCGGGCCUCGCGCUAUAGGGUUGGCCGAUGGCUGAUUAGCUAGUUGGUGGGGUAAAGGCCUACCAAGGCGACGAUCAGUAGCUGGUCUGAGAGGACGACCAGCCACACUGGGACGGAGACACGGCCCAGACUCCUACGGGAGGCAGCAGUGGGGAAUUUUGGACAAUGGGCGAAAGCCUGAUCCAGCAAUGCCGCGUGUGUGAAGAAGGCCUUCGGGUUGUAAAGCACUUUUGUCCGGAAAGAAAUCCUUGGCUCUAAUACAGUCGGGGGAUGACGGUACCGGAAGAAUAAGCACCGGCUAACUACGUGCCAGCAGCCGCGGUAAUACGUAGGGUGCGAGCGUUAAUCGGAAUUACUGGGCGUAAAGCGUGCGCAGGCGGUUUGCUAAGACCGAUGUGAAAUCCCCGGGCUCAACCUGGGAACUGCAUUGGUGACUGGCAGGCUAGAGUAUGGCAGAGGGGGGUAGAAUUCCACGUGUAGCAGUGAAAUGCGUAGAGAUGUGGAGGAAUACCGAUGGCGAAGGCAGCCCCCUGGGCCAAUACUGACGCUCAUGCACGAAAGCGUGGGGAGCAAACAGGAUUAGAUACCCUGGUGGUCCACGCCCUAAACGAUGUCAACUAGUUGUUGGGGAUUCAUUUCCUUAGUAACGUAGCUAACGCGUGAAGUUGACCGCCUGGGGAGUACGGUCGCAAGAUUAAAACUCAAAGGAAUUGACGGGGACCCGCACAAGCGGUGGAUGAUGUGGAUUAAUUCGAUGCAACGCGAAAAACCUUACCUACCCUUGACAUGGUCGGAAUCCUGCUGAGAGGCGGGAGUGCUCGAAAGAGAACCGGCGCACAGGUGCUGCAUGGCUGUCGUCAGCUCGUGUCGUGAGAUGUUGGGUUAAGUCCCGCAACGAGCGCAACCCUUGUCCUUAGUUGCUACGCAAGAGCACUCUAAGGAGACUGCCGGUGACAAACCGGAGGAAGGUGGGGAUGACGUCAAGUCCUCAUGGCCCUUAUGGGUAGGGCUUCACACGUCAUACAAUGGUCGGAACAGAGGGUUGCCAACCCGCGAGGGGGAGCUAAUCCCAGAAAACCGAUCGUAGUCCGGAUUGCACUCUGCAACUCGAGUGCAUGAAGCUGGAAUCGCUAGUAAUCGCGGAUCAGCAUGCCGCGGUGAAUACGUUCCCGGGUCUUGUACACACCGCC